GCAUGACCAGAAAUAGGCAUUAAAGAGAUGAUUAACUUUUCAGUUAGGUUCUAAGCCAUCUGUGUUUAUAAUAGCGGCGGAGCUGCGUUCAGUCUGAUCCUAAAUAGCUUAAUAACAGAGCCAGAGCCUGCAAAGUGCCUGCACACGCCGGCAGCUCGUGGCUGUGUCUGCACGGGGAGCUUUGGAGCUGGGUGCUGGCAGAAGGGCAGGCUGUAAAGGACAUGCCAAAGGAGCCAAUUUUUAUCUGUUGUAUUGCUUGUUUUUACUCAUAUUGACUCGUGAAGGUAUUUAGAGGUGUCUGAAGGAUGGUGCUGUGCUUCCCUCCAGAAGAAGAGAAAGGUUUAUGUCCAAAGUUUAACUUCUGAAAUACGGUGAAGUUAUAUCAUUGUAAUUCCACUGGAGAAUGGCUGGGACUAAAUGAUACCUGAAGGUCCCUUCCAUCCCAAACCAUUCUGUGAUUCCAUAUUGAAAGGAUAUGUUCCACUCAGAGGGUGGUGAGGGUGGUGAGGACCAUCAUUGCUUCUUUUGUUGCUGUAGGUUUUUGCGCCUCUUCCAAUGCUGGCAAGGAUCCUGCUGUCUGCUCUCAUUCAGAGGUGUUGGCGUGGCUCUGCUCCCCAGCAUCUGCACCUCUCUGCAUUUUGUGCUGACUGACCUCAGUGCUCACCACAAGCACACUAACCAGGACCUGCAGCUCCCUUCUUGCAGGAGACCCUCACCGAGUGACAAGGACUGAGGCUGAAAUCCUCGCAGACGGUGAGAACAAAGCAAGUUUUUGUUGUCAUGUGUUCUUUAAUAGACAAAGAAGCCUGCUGCCCAUCUGCCAGCCCAGCAGCCCCAUGGUGCACUGUUCCCUGCAGGCUCCGUCCCUUUGGGCAGUAAGGGCUGUCCCAGAGCUGUAAGGGCUCUGCCUUUGCUCCCCUCUCCACAUCCUCCCUGUUUGUGAUACCCCACUUAUCUGUGAGCACUGGGGGCUGCAGGUUUGCAGGCACAUGUGCAGCCUCCUAUUGAGAGACCACCUGGAGGCAUAGGAAAUGGGAAGGGAAAGUUGAAAGAAGUAUUUGAGGAAGACACCAAGCCAACAGCUAAAGAGUGCGCCUCAUCUGGGCCAUGUUCAAUCUGGUAACAAGAAUCAUAGAAUCUAGAAACUAGGAGGUGUUUUUUUUUUCUGAGGUUCCUACCUGAAUGUCUGGAAAUGUUGUAGAGAUGGCUUAUCCUGGGUAUUUCUUGCUCUGUGUGAACACAAGAGUGUUCCUACCCUUCCAGUAAAACAAACUAGCUGCCAUCAAAAUAGGUAGAAACAUAAAAAAGAACAAAACAAUGCAGAAAUCUCAUCUCAGAGAAUCUGGAAGCUGAGAAUCUAUAGAUCUUUCUCCACGCAAGCCCAGAUAUACAUUUAAAAUGGUUUAUUUAAAAAGGAAGGAUUAAGUACAUUAUACACGGUUGUGAUUACACCAGCAGAACUGAAGCACAGUGGCAAUAACACGUUAGAACUGCAGACAGAAAUGCAACCUCAAGGGAUGUGAUAUAUUAGCCCUUGUGGAGUUGUGAUCCAUACAGAAAGGAAAUAUAAAAAGAGUUUACUGUUAUUGGUACGGGCACAUGAAGUGAUUUCUCCUAUUCUGUAUGAGAAACCAAAAAGAGAGAGCUGAUGAGAUACUCGAAAUUUGUUUCUCA